rnacentral:rRNA from 1 species
UACGGAGGGUGCAAGCGUUAUCCGGAUUACUGGGUUUAAAGGGUGCGUAGGUGGGUUUGUAAGUCAGUGGUGAAAUCUCCGAGCUUAACUCGGAAACUGCCAUUGAUACUAUAGAUCUUGAAUUAUCUGGAGGUGAGCGGAAUAUGUCAUGUAGCUGGUGAAAUGCUUAGAUAUGACAUAGAACACCAAUUGCGAAGGCAGCUCACUACGGAUUGAUUGACACUGAGGCACGAAAGCGUGGGGAUCAAACAGG